AAAUGCUGCGGUCAUCACAGAGCCUGUGGGAUUAAUGAAACUCUUAGUAACAGCACCAAAAAGAUCAUAAAAAAGACCCGUGCUUCCAAACCUGAAGGCUCAAGGCUCACUCAUACAUAAAAUUUUCAAUCAGAGGAAAACAAAUUAGCUAUUCAAUAGUCGAAAGAAACCAAAAUAUCCCAAAAAUUCCCAUUUCCAUCACUAGUUCUGUAACAUCAAAUAUUGGAAUUGGAGAACUCAAAUGAUAAGAGUUGAACAAAACUUAUUAGAGAAAUCACAAAACUUUCAGUCUUG